GACGAACGCUGGCGGCGUGCCUAAUACAUGCAAGUUGAGCGCUGAAGGUUGGUACUUGUACCGACUGGAUGAGCAGCGAACGGGUGAGUAACGCGUGGGGAAUCUGCCUUUGAGCGGGGGACAACAUUUGGAAACGAAUGCUAAUACCGCAUAAAAACUUUAAACACAAGUUUUAAGUUUGAAAGAUGCAAUUGCAUCACUCAAAGAUGAUCCCGCGUUGUAUUAGCUAGUUGGUGAGGUAAAGGCUCACCAAGGCGAUGAUACAUAGCCGACCUGAGAGGCGGAGCGGCCACAUUGGGACUGAGACACGGCCCAAACUCCUGCGAGAGGCAGCAGUAGGGAAGCUUCGGCAAUGGACGAAAGUCUGAACGAGCAACGCCGCGUGAGGGAAGAAGGUUGUCGGGUCGUAAAACUCUGUUGGUAGAGAAGAACGUUGGUGAGAGUGGAAAGCUCAUCAAGUGACGGUAACUACACAGAAAGGGACGGCUAACUACGUG
rnacentral:rRNA from 1 species